rnacentral:tRNA from 1 species
GGGUUAUUAGCUCAAUUGGUAGAGCAGUGGACUCUUAAUCCAUCGGUCGUAGGUUCGAACUCUGCAUAGCCCAGCA